rnacentral:rRNA from 1 species
GACGUAGGGCGCGAGCGUUGUCCGGAUUUAUUGGGCGUAAAGGGCGCGUAGGCGGCUUUUCAAGUGACGGGUGAAAUCCCUCGGCUUAACCGAGGAACUGCCUGUCAGACUGGAAGGCUUGAGACCGGGAGAGGUGAGUGGAAUUCCCAGUGUAGCGGUGAAAUGCGUAGAUAUUGGGAGGAACACCAGUGGCGAAGGCGGCUCACUGGACCGGAACUGACGCUGAGGCGCGAAAGCGUGGGGAGCAAACAGG